rnacentral:rRNA from 1 species
UACGUAGGGGGCAAGCGUUGUCCGGAUUCAUUGGGCGUAAAGAGCGUGUAGGCGGCCAGGUAGGUCGGUUGUGAAAACUGGAGGCUCAACCUUCAGAGGUCGACCGAAACCAUCUGGCUAGAGUCCGGAAGAGGCGAGUGGAAUUCCUGGUGUAGCGGUGGAAUGCGCAGAUAUCAGGAGGAACACCGAUGGCGAAGGCAGCUCGCUGGGACGGUACUGACGCUGAGGCGCGAAAGCGUGGGGAGCGAACAGG